AAAUUGAAGAGUUUGAUCAUGGCUCAGAUUGAACGCUGGCGGCAGGCCUAACACAUGCAAGUCGAACGGUAACAGGAAGCAGCUUGCUGCUUCGCUGGCGAGUGGCGGACGGGUGAGUAAUGUCUGGGAAACUGCCUGAUGGAGGGGGAUAACUACUGGAAACGGUAGCUAAUACCGCAUAACGUCGCAAGACCAAAGAGGG
rnacentral:rRNA from 1 species